rnacentral:rRNA from 1 species
CCUGUACUUGGUGUUACUGCGAAGGGGGGACGGAGAAGGCUAUGUUGGCCGGGCGACGGUUGUCCCGGUUUAAGCGUGUAGGUGUGUGUUCCAGGUAAAUCCGGUUCACUUUAACACUGAGGCGUGAUGACGAGGCACUACGGUGCUGAAGCAACAAAUGCCCUGCUUCCAGGAAAAGCCUCUAAGCAUCAGGUAACAUCAAAUCGUACCCCAAACCGACACAGGUGGUCAGGUAGAGAAUACCAAGGCGCUUGA